rnacentral:lncRNA from 1 species
GCAAUCUAUUUAACCUAGGCCACAACUUCAUUCCUUCCACAGGCUCAAUACCACGCUCAUAGGUUUGCAGCCAACUUCGAGUUGUAAAAUACUCAUAAACAUAAUCAUGAACCUUCUCUUUUUUGCCAAUGAUAACACAAGCAACAUGAUUGCAAGGAAUACCAUUCAACUGCCAUUUCCCACAGCCUCAUUUCCACACGAUAAUAACAAUUGUGCAACUCUACCUCAUGCCUAUCACCCGUAGACAUGUAUCUUAUGCAUUCUCUAGACUUCUCUAUAGCAGAUUCAAUCUCAGCAUGUGCAUUCUUUGUGAACCUUUCCUUUCUCCUAUUUGCAAUAAUCGACCUCUUAGCAGUACGAACCAUACACUGUCUUCUAACAUCUUCUAACAGGUCAAGUAAGGGUUUUUUCCUAGCUUGACGAAUGGUCUUAUUGAAAGAUUCAUUCAGAUUAUUUAAAUUAUCAUUGCAACACGAACCAACCUUAAAGUAGGCCCGAGACCAGGGAGGAGGGUUGGUUUUUAGAAGAGAAUCAUAAGCUCCUUGACUGUAUUUCUUCAAAGCUUCCAAAUUAUCUGCAUAAUCUCCUUUGGUGUAGCUCCUAACUAUUUUCCAGAAUAACCGCUCUAGCUCUAUAUCAUGAUUUGUCUCUCUUCCAAUUUCCUAGAAUGUGUCUAUGUUCAGCUUCUGGAAGUUGAUUAUGCACAGCUUUCACCAAACCCUUCAAAAAAAAUGAAACAUUACAAGUAAUCAAAACAUAAAACUGAGCUCAAAUCCUAAAACCUUAAAAUAGAUACCUUUUGCUUAUCAGAUAUGAAAGUGUAGUCUCUUCCCUCACCAAGUCCUAAGUCUCUUUUGAGAUGAUUUACAAACCAAUCCCAAUUCUUCACAUCAUUCUCUAUCUCCACAACAGCCCAUGCGAUGGGAACAAUUAUGUUGUCUGCAUCUCUUCCUACAGCAGCUAACAACUGUCCUUUGAUAUCC